UGCAACAGUAACCCUGCUCAGUACGAGAGGGGCCGCAGGUUCAGACAUCUGGUGCGUCUGCUUGGCUGAGGAGCCAAUGGUGCGAAGCUACCAUCUGUGGGAUCGUGACUGAACGCCUCUAAGUCACAGUCCCCCCUGAAUGGCA
rnacentral:ncRNA from 1 species